rnacentral:rRNA from 1 species
UACGUAGGGUGCAAGCGUUAAUCGGAAUCACUGGGCGUAAAGCGCACGUAGGCGGCUUUGUAAGUCAGGGGUGAAAUCCCGGGGCUCAACCUCGGAACUGCCUUUGAUACUGCGAAUCUUGAGUCCGAUAGAGGUGGGUGGAAUUCCUAGUGUAGAGGUGAAAUUCGUAGAUAUUAGGAAGAACACCGGUGGCGAAGGCGGCCCACUGGAUCGGUACUGACGCUGAGGUGCGAAAGCGAGGGGAGCAAACAGG